CAUACCUAAUCCUCAUAGAAUACUAGGGGUUUUUUUAUGUUCUUGAUUUCUUUCCCCCUUUUCUUCCUACGUCGACAGCAGAAAUCAUAAUUUGUUCAAUUGUGGCGAUCACUGAAGAGUGACGUCUACACCGCCGCCUCCAUUAUGCAAUCGUCUCCGAUCUUCUCUACCAUCUCCAUUUGUUCACUCUUCCCUUGUCGUUUUGCGAGAUCAUGAUGUGAUUCUAGGGCUCGAUUCUUUUCUCCUCCCUUUGAAUGUUUGUUCUUGUGGGUUUCAUCUUCGGGUUUUCAAAGAAAUUACAGAUUGUAAUGUAACGUCAAUUAUAGGUGCUGAUACGCCGACAACUAUUGAGUCCUUUCAGGCCGCUGCCCUAGUGAGCCAGGCUACACUAUACCCUAAAUACCUUAUGGACCAUAACUUAUUCAGAUCGACCAUGCUUGAUGCUUCACCCGACUGAAGCUAUAACCAAAGGUGCAAACUGGUCAAUAACACAAUAUUAUUUAAAAGAUGAAUCGUUUUUACUUGUUACAUUACAUAGAUACCGGAAACAAACUUAGAGCAGAUGAGGAUUCUUCAAGAAUUGCAAGAUUUUUUUUAAAGAUUUUUUAUUCAUUUGAUCUAUUGCACUUUAUAAUUGUAUUUGUAUUUUCAUUUGUAUAAAAGUGUAACCAGAUUUUACAAGAAUAUAUCUUUUGCAUUAACAUUUUAACCUUUCAAA